UACAGAGGGGGCAAGCGUUAUUCGGAAUUAUUGGGCGUAAAGGGCGCGUAGGCGGCCUGGCAAGUGGAAGGUGAAAUCCCUCGGCUUAACCGAGGAACUGCCUCCCAAACUGCUUGGCUUGAGACCAGGAGAGGUGAGUGGAAUUCCCAGUGUAGCGGUGAAAUGCGUAGAUAUUGGGAAGAACACCCGUGGCGAAGGCGGCUCUCUGGGACGGUACUGACGCUGAGACGUGAAAGCGUGGGGAGCGAACAGG
rnacentral:rRNA from 1 species